UCCUGUUAGGAACCUCUCGACCAUCCUAGCUCGUAGCUGCUUAAAGCUUGCUUCUAGCUCCUAGCGCUAGCUCCUCGCUGCACAAAUAAGAGACUUGGGACGGCCUAGAAGAUGGCGCACCUCGAACGACUUCCGGUUCAAGCGAGGAGCUAGCAGUAGCACUAUAAAAAUAAGAGACUUGGGACGCACCCAUGGAAGAGCAGAAAGUGAGUGAAGAAGAUAUGUGUUGGUUUGGUGCCUGGUGUUUGUAAAAACGAAGAAAUAUGUCGUUAGAAGCUCGUUAACUCGUAGCAUGUGUGUUAGCAUAAAUGGUUGGUUAACGGACAGUAUCCACGAGUCCAUCCCAUAGACUGUAUAAAAUAAUGGACGUAGUCACCGUGACGUCAUCCGUCCGUUUCUGAAGAGUGGAUUUGAUUUGAAGCUCAAAAUACUCCGCUCUAGACGUCGCCAUCUUGGCAGUGCCUGACUCCGCCCAACUCCCGGACAAUCAAAAAUGGGCAAAGAGGUGGGCCAAAGGUGGGAAGCCUGGCUGCCUAAACACGCCUACCUCGCUCGGCGCUGCUAAGUUAGCUAAGGCUAAGAAGCUAGGCUAAGAAGCUACGCUACUUUGGCUAGCCCUGUGGUGUUGGCUGCUCCCUUGGUGCCAGCUCCCUCACGAAACUUGAGAACAAGAAAAAUGUAUCUGGAUCCUUCUCUGAAAAUUUGGGCACCAACCGCAAACAACCAGAGACAUCAAAAGUCGGAGAGCUACCUGCAAGCAGUUUUUUCCCAGAACCAGCACUGGAACUGCUUUGGUGGAAAAGGGAUGCAUGAAGAAUCUGUGACUAAAAGUUAUUUACAGUAGAAAUUGAUUGUGUACCCCUUGGCUGCAUACAGUGUGGGAGGAAAACGCUUG